rnacentral:rRNA from 1 species
UACGUACCGUCCAAACGUUAUUCGGAAUUACUGGGCUUAAAGGGUACGUAGGCGGCGCUGUCAGUCGGGUGUGAAAGCCCUCGGCUCAACCGAGGAAUUGCGCCCGAUACUGCAGUGCUUGAGGGAGACAGAGGUAAGCGGAACUGAUGGUGGAGCGGUGAAAUGCGUUGAUAUCAUCAGGAACACCAGUGGCGAAAGCGGCUUACUGGGUCUCUUCUGACGCUGAGGAACGAAAGCUAGGGGAGCGAACGGG